rnacentral:rRNA from 1 species
CCUACGGGCGGCAGCAGUGAGGACUAUUGGUCAAUGGACGCAAGUCUGAACCAGCCAUGCCGCGUGCAGGAAGACGGCUCUAUGAGUUGUAAACUGCUUUUGUACGAGGGUAAACGCAGAUACGCGUAUCUGUCUGACAGUAUCGUACGAAUAAGGAUCGGCUAACUCCGUGCCAGCAGCCGCGGUAAUACGGAGGAUUCAAGCGUUAUCCGGAUUUAUUGGGUUUAAAGGGUGCGUAGGCGGUCGGAUAAGUUAGAGGUGAAAUCCCGAGGUGCAACUUCGGAAUUGCGUCUGAUAAUGUUCGGCGAGAGAGUAGUUGCGGUAGGCGGAAUGUAUGGUGUAGCGGUGAAAUGCUUAGAGAUCAUACAGAACACCGAUUGCGAAGGCAGCUUACCAAGCUACUUCUGACGUUGAGGCACGAAAGCGUGGGGAGCAAACAGGAUUAGAUACCCGUGUAGUC